GACGAACGCUGGCGGCGUGCUUAACACAUGCAAGUCGAACGGAAAGGCCCUGCUUUUGUGGGGUGCUCGAGUGGCGAACGGGUGAGUAACACGUGAGUAACCUGCCCUUGACUCUGGGAUAACUUCAGGAAACUGGGGCUAAUACUGGAUAGGAGCUCCUGCUGCAUGGUGGGGGUUGGAAAGUUUCGGCGGUUGGGGAUGGACUUGCGGCUUAUCAGCUUGUUGGUGGGGUAGUGGCUUACCAAGGCUUUGACGGGUAGCCGGCCUGAGAGGGUGACCGGCCACAUUGGGACUGAGAUACGGCCCAGACUCCUACGGGAGGCAGCAGUGGGGAAUAUUGCACAAUGGGCGGAAGCCUGAUGCAGCGACGCCGCGUGCGGGAUGACGGCCUUCGGGUUGUAAACCGCUUUCAGCUGUGACGAAGCGAGAGUGACGGUAAUGGGAGAAGAAGCACCGGCUAACUACGUG
rnacentral:rRNA from 1 species